CCAAAGGCAACAGAGUACACAAGCAGCAGGGACUCAUCAGUAAUGAGAGGCAGCAGCACAGUUGCUCCACCGCCCAGAAUCAAUGAAAAGUUGUUUACCCACAAGGCAUCCACCUGCAAGAACAACAUAGUUGAAGCAGAACACCUUUACUGAUCAUCAACUAGCAGCCAACACAUCCACAUUGUGUACAAAAGAGUGUGCAUGUGAGUGGCCACCCAGCUGCCUCCUGUUGUUUACAUCAAUCAUGCACCAGCCCUUGAUACACAGUUGAACCUUGAUCAUCUGGCAAUCUUGACUACAGAAUCUUCCAAGUAUCUGCCAAAACACACAAAAUCAGAUGACCUGGUAAUGGUUCCCAGUGUUGCCUCCCGGUGCAGGACUCCUUUAUAA